rnacentral:rRNA from 1 species
CAGCCCUAAACGAUGCGCGUUAGGUGUAUCGGUGACCACGAGUCACCGAGGUGCCGAAGGGAAACCGUGAAACGUGCCGCCUGGGAAGUACGGUCGCAAGGCUGAAACUUAAAGGAGUUGGCGGGGGAGCACCACAACGGGUGGAGCCUGCGGUUUAAUUGGACUCAACGCCGGGAAGCUCACCGGAUAAGACAGCGGAAUGAUUGCCGGGCUGAAGACCCUGCAUGACCAGCUGAGAGGAGGUGCAUGGCGUAGUCGUGU